UGGUAUUUAUUACGCUGAGGUCCCACCUGUUCCCAUCCCGAACACAGAAGUUAAGCUCAGUUGUGCCGACAAUACUUGGCGGG
rnacentral:rRNA from 1 species